rnacentral:rRNA from 1 species
ACGGCUUACCAAGGCGACGAUACGUAGCCGACCUGAGAGGGUGAUCGGCCACACUGGAACUGAGACACGGUCCAGACUCCUACGGGAGGCAGCAGUAGGGAAUCUUCCGCAAUGGGCGAAAGCCUGACGGAGCAACGCCGCGUGAGUGAUGAAGGUCUUCGGAUCGUAAAACUCUGUUGUUAGGGAAGAACAAAUUUGUUAGUAACUGAACAAGUCUUGACGGUACCUAACCAGAAAGCCACGGCUAACUACGUGCCAGCAGCCGCGGUAAUACGUAGGUGGCAAGCGUUAUCCGGAAUUAUUGGGCGUAAAGCGCGCGAAGGCGGUUUCUUAAGUCUGAUGUGAAAGCCCACGGCUCAACCGUGGAGGGUCAUUGGAAACUGGGAAACUUGAGUGCAGAAGAGGAGAGUGGAAUUCCAUGUGUAGCGGUGAAAUGCGCAGAGAUAUGGAGGAACACCAGUGGCGAAGGCGGCUCUCUGGUCUGUAACUGACGCUGAUGUGCGAAAGCGUGGGGAUCAAACAGGAUUAGAUACCCUGGUAGUCCACGCCGUAAACGAUGAGUGCUAAGUGUUAGGGGGUUUCCGCCCCUUAGUGCUGCAGCUAACGCAUUAAGCACUCCCCCUGGGGAGUACGACCGCAAGGUUGAAACUCAAAGGAAUUGACGGGGACCCGCACAAGCGGUGGAGCAUGUGGUUUAAUU